rnacentral:rRNA from 1 species
UGAGGAAUAUUGGUCAAUGGGCGCAAGCCUGAACCAGCCAUCCCGCGUGUAGGAAGACGGCCCUAUGGGUUGUAAACUGCUUUUCCAGGGAGAGAAACUUGCGUACGCGUUGCGCAAUUGACGGUACCCUGGGAAUAAGCAUCGGCUAACUCCAUGCCAGCAGCCGCGGUAAUACGGAGGAUGCGAGCGUUAUCAGGAAUCAUUGGGUUUAAAGGGUGCGUAGGCGGACUAUUAAGGCAGUGGUGAAAUCCUGCAGCUUAACUGCAGAACUGGCAUUGAUACUGUUAGCCUUGAGUUUGGUUAAGGUAGGCUGAAUGUGUAAUGUAGCAGUGAAAUGCUUAGAUAUUACACAGAACACCAAUUGCGUAGUCAGCUUACUGAGCCGACACUGAUGCUGAGGCACGAAAGCGUGGGGAUCGAACAGGUCUAGAUCCCCCAGUAGUC